UUUCUACUCCCUCCGUCCGAAAAUACUUGUCAUCAAAAUGGAUAAAAAGAGAUGUAUCUAAAACUAAAAUAUGUCUAGAUACNUUGUCAUCAAAAUGGAUAAAAAGAGAUGUAUCUAAAACUAAAAUAUGUCUAGAUACAUUUCCUUUUAUCCAUUUUGAUGACAAGUAUUUCCGGACGGAGGGAGUAUUUG
rnacentral:pre_miRNA from 1 species